UUUGCAAUUUUGCAUAACGAAAAACUCUUCCUUUCCAGUUUCCAAUCCAAAAACAUCGAAGGGCACGGAUUUUCUUUGCACCCGGUGUAACCCCUUUUAGCUGUCAGCUCCUAUAGUAGUCCCCAACUCAAAGGAAAAAUAUCUGCUUAAAACUGUAGUAUUGAUACUCCAGUAAGUCGUACUCAUCUAUACUGCCAUGAAUGCCGGCGCCGGAGCCGUCUGCUGCACUAAUAACAUCAUGUUUACAAACCCUUCUUCGUCAUCCUUCAUUUUCCCCAUCAAUUUUUGCUGCGCCCCCACUCGUUGCGGAAGUAACCGUUCUUACGCAGCUCAUUCCAUGUCUCAGUCUUCUGUCCUAGUUGAGACAUCCAUUGAAGGCCAAAUUGCAGAGGAAGAAGCUCUGUCCUUGAAGCCGGCAACUCGCCGACGUCGCCGCAUUAUCCUCCUCCGACAUGCUAAGAGCUCGUGGGAAGAUCGUUCUAUACGAGAUCAUGAUCGUCCUCUUAGUAAGGUUGGGCAAGCUGACGCUACCAAAAUUUCCUACAAUCUUGAAAAAUUGGGUUGGCUUCCAGAGCUAAUUUUGUGCAGCGACGCAAUCAGAACCAAAGAAACGCUCAAGAUAAUGCAGGAGAAAGUGAAGGCAUUUCUUGAGGCCAAGGUGCAUUUCAUUUCAAGCUUUUAUUCAGUAGCAGCAAUGGACGGUCAGACCGCUGGCCAUCUUGAACAAGCCAUUUGUAAAUAUUCAGGAAAUGAGAUUCUUACAAUUAUCCACUCAGGUGUAUGGGGCAUAAUAGAGGAUGGGAGGAAGCAGCAACUAUGUUAUCAGGCACUCCUGUGGAACUAAAGACUUGCAAUGCAGCCUUGCUUGAAGCAACUGGAACAUCAUGGGAAGAGGCAUUUUCUUCGGCUGGAUUUGGUGGGUGGAAACUCCAAGGUAUUGUUAAGCCAAAUAGCGAAUCUUCAAUAAUGACCUUGUAGAAGUGUUUAUAUAUCUUGGACUUGAUCAAGAUGUACAUAUAGCUCGGGAAGAGAGAAGAAACUAAAACUGUAAUGAGAGGAUGACUGCCCUAUUUGGCUUGUUUGUCAUCAAAUGGAUCAAUGAAUAAUUUCAUAUUGUGUAUGAAUGCAGGCAGAAUCAUAUCUUGUUGAAUUUAUGCAUCUGCGACUUUUGGAACUAUAUGUGGAAUUUUGUUAUAACAUCAAUAUGGUACUUAUUCUAUAAA